GUUGUUUUUUUACUAAUAUGUCAUCCACAUUUAAUAUUUUAUAAAUCAAUCAGCAAAAUUUUUAUAAGAUGCCAAAGCCUGGUAUACUGCCAGGUUUAUGGAUGCAUGUGUUAGAUGUUGAGGGGGAUAUCAGAAGGGAGAAACAUAAAAUGGGAAAAACUAGGCUUAGGAAGUAGAAAAUGGAUAUUUACAAGCACUAUUAAAAUAUUCAUGAUAAUGCAUAUUUCCUUCUUUACAACCUUAUAAACUUUACAACUCAGUUUUCAACAUUUAAUUUACUAUGUAGUACCAGAAGGAAGGCUCUAUGAGGGCAGGGAUAUAUAUAUAUAUAUAUAUAUAUAUAUAUGAAUUUAUAUGUGUGUGUGUGUAUAUAUAUAUAUAUGAAUUUAUAUAUUUAUGUAUAUAAAUAUAUAAAUGUUUUAAAUGAUGAAUCCAGUGCCUACAGUAGUGCCUGGCACAUAAUAGGCAUUCAGUAAGUAUUUGUUGAUUGAUUGAAUGAGUACAGGACACUGGCUAGAUCCUGGAAAUAAGAUGUGUAAGAAAUGCUCCCUCAUCUCAAGAAGCGUACAGUCUAGUGGAAGACAGAAGCAUGAGAGAAUGAUUCUCAGAGGGGGUUCCCUGGACAAGCUGCUUUAGCAUCACCUGGGGACUUGUUAGAAAUGCAAAUUAUUGGGGUCCGCUGAGACCUAUUGAAUCAGAUACUGUGUGUGGGACCUAGCAAUCUCUGUUUUCACAGAUCUCCUAAUGACCUUGGAGUUUGAGAACCACCCUAUGAAUGUAACUAUAGAAAGCUUAUAAUAUAUAUAAUUAAAACUACUAGAAAUAAUAACAAACAACUCUGUAUUGCAAGGAAACUAGGAUGUGUUUUUAGCUAAGAAAAGGUAUGAGGUAUGGAGAUGUAUUUUUGUUAAGAGAAAAGAAAGUAAAUUUUGUCCUAAAGUAAAGCUGGUUAUUUCAGAAUGAAAAGAGAAAAAUAAAGGACAAACUAAGGACAUAGACAUUUAGGAAAAGAAAAAGAGAAAGGAAGGAAAAGAAGGAAGGGAGGGAGGGAGGGAGGAUGGAAGGAAGGAAGGGAGGGAGUUAGUUUUGUAGUCACAUUGGCUAAAAAUUGAAUUGUUAUAAAGGUUUUUAAAAAUGAUACACUUGCUUUUUUAAUAGUUUGCGUAUGUAAUUUUCUUUCAUUUGCAGAAAGGGCAAAGUUUUCUUGGACUAUUGGUCUGCUCUUAAUAAGAUAUUAUGAAUGUUUUGUUUUGUUUUGUUUUACCUUUUGAGUAAUCUGCCUGAAAAGCAAAAAUGUUGUGUUUUACUAAAAUACUUUCCUGUGCUUCAUGUUGUCUUUAUCAGAUCUUUGAUUACUUAACUGAGUCUUAACGCUAAGAGCUGAAUUUUACUUAAAACAAUGUAAUCUCCUGUAUUUGCUUUUAAAAUCUUUCGUCACUUUGGUUAAAAAUAUAAUUAAGUAUUAUCUGUGAUCCUAUUUAGUCAAGUGUCCAAACCUUUUGAUAUUUUUUGCAAACUUUCCAAAAUCGAUUUUUAAACACAAUUUUUUGACCUGGAAAGUGAGUUGGAGUUUUCCAGAGGGUCCCUGGAACAUCUCAAAAGAUUUGUUUUUUCUCUUUAUAAAAGGGAGGUGCUAAAUGAAUUGGUUUAUGUGAUAUUGCUAAAUUACAUGGGAAGUAUUGUUAAAUAAGAAAUAUCAAGCUUUCUUUACAUUGUAUCUGUAUAGGUAUCUGUUUUAAGUGUUGCAGAAAUUAUAUGAAAUUCCUAGAAAUCAGAUGUCCCAGGAUAAUGUUAUCACUGUAAUUCCAGUUAUUAUCUUAAAAUGUUGUAUUCCCAGAUAUAAUCAGAUUUUCUUGCCAAUUGCAUUGUAAUGAACUUUAUCAGAUCUUUAACCAUGGCCAUUUUUAAGUCCUUUCUCCUUUACAGACAGUUACUGUUUUAUUCUGAUGUUUUGUAAAAGUUUUCCUGUAAAAGUGCUUCAUCUUCAAGGAGGUUCAUGAAUGGACUCUAACAAGUAUUGUGGAAUACAAGUUUAUGAUAACUUUAAGGUCGUCCAACUGAACUGGAUUACUGAUACAUGUGAAUCAGCCAGACCAUUUUGUAAAUACCCUCAACCUGCAAUAAUUUUUUCCACCUGUUUCCAAAAGGUAAUGGAAAAUCUAGAGUUAACACCUAGCUGGGCUAUACAUCAAUCAAUCAAAAGUUAACUUGGAUGAGGUUUGGUCAUAGCUGGAUGUCAUACAGAGACAGCCUGAUUUCCUUCUCUUAAGAGCAUAGAAUUGAGUCUAUUAUAUUUGCCUCCCAGCACAGGAAAGUGACAUACAUGUUCCAUGGCCUGAGUCAUCAUACAUGCUAUGAUUCAUUUUGCAAGGAUAGAGCACACUGUUGGGUCUGAUCAAAUUUUCUCUUAUCGGUUGACCAGGUAGGCCUGUCUUUUCUUGUAUCAGCAUUUGUCAUGUAUCUUAAAGUUAUUGAUUUUUUUAUUCCUUUUUUUUUUUUUUUUUUUAAGUAGGCUCCACACUCCUUGUGGGGCUUGAACUCAUGACCCUGGGAUCAAGAGUCACAUGCUCUACCUACUGAGCCAGCCAGGUGCCCCUAGACUCAUUGAUAUUUUUAAUACAAUUACUGUUGACCAUUAAAAAUCCAAUGGACCCACUUAAUACAAAAAGUACAGAACUUUUCUAUCAUUUAGGCUGAGUUUUGAAAAUCCUGUCUCCAAGUAAAACAAACCCCAUUAGUAAGUACCAGUUGAAAAUGAGGCCCAUUUAAAAUGGAAUACCCUACAUUAAAGUAUGUAGAAGUUGGUCCAUAAAUAUAUUUACCAUGUACAUUGAACUGCAUUUAAAUAGACAGAUUUCAAAGGAACUCAGACUUCAUCCACUGUAGCACACUUUCUAUAAAUCUGGAAACAGGAGAGUCUGGGAGAUGAAAUGAUUUCUUAAAUACUAGUUCACGAUGUUGCAAGGGCCUAAUCAAGAAGUGUCAGGGUUGUGCCUCCCUUCCCCCCAUUUUCAGUUUUAUUUCUAAUGUAAGCUCACGUUUGCCAUGUUGGCUGAUUUUAACAUGUAUGUUACAGUAAUAAAUUCAAGGACUUCCA